GCGCGCGUGGCGCAGUCGGUAGCGCUGCCGCCUGCCAAUCUGACAACGCGGGUUCGACCCCCGACACCUCA